UGGGGAAUAUUGCACAAUGGAGGGAACUCUGAUGCAGCGACGCCGCGUGAACGAAGAAGGCUUUCGAGUCGUAAAGUUCUUUUAUAUGGGAAGAUAAUGACGGUACCAUAAGAAAAAGCCCCGGCUAACUACGUGCCAGCAGCCGCGGUAAUACGUAGGGGGCUAGCGUUGUCCGGAAUCACUGGGCGUAAAGGGUUCGCAGGCGGAAAUGCAAGUCAGGUGUAAAAGGCAGUAGCUUAACUACUGUAAGCAUUUGAAACUGCAUAUCUUGAGAAGAGUAGAGGUAAGUGGAAUUUUUAGUGUAGCGGUGAAAUGCGUAGAUAUUAAAAAGAAUACCGGUGGCGAAGGCGACUUACUGGGCUCAUUCUGACGCUGAGGAACGUAAGCGUGGGUAGCAAACAGG
rnacentral:rRNA from 1 species